rnacentral:rRNA from 1 species
AUUGAACGCUGGCGGCAUGCCUUACACAUGCAAGUCGAACGGUAACAGGUCUUCGGAUGCUGACGAGUGGCGAACGGGUGAGUAAUACAUCGGAACGUGCCUAGUAGUGGGGGAUAACUACUCUAAAGAGUGGCUAAUACCGCAUGAGAUCUACGGAUGAAAGCAGGGGAUCGCAAGACCUUGUGCUACUAGAGCGGCCGAUGGCAGAUUCGGUAGUUGGUGGGAUAAAAGCUUACCAAGCCGACGAUCUGUAGCUGGUCUGAGAGGACGAUCAGCCACACUGGGACUGAGACACGGCCCAGACUCCUACGGGAGGCAGCAGUGGGGAAUUUUGGACAAUGGGCGAAAGCCUGAUCCAGCAAUGCCGCGUGCAGGAUGAAGGCCUUCGGGUUGUAAACUGCUUUUGUACGGAACGAAAAGCCCUGGGUUAAUACCCUGGGGUCAUGACGGUACCGUAAGAAUAAGCACCGGCUAACUACGUGCCAGCAGCCGCCGUAAAAC